rnacentral:rRNA from 1 species
AGCGAACGCUGGCGGCAGGCCUAACACAUGCAAGUCGAACGAACCCUUCGGGGUUAGUGGCGGACGGGUGAGUAACACGUGGGAACGUACCUUUAGGUUCGGAACAACACAGGGAAACUUGUGCUAAUGCCCGAAUGUGCCCUUCGGGGGAAAGAUUUAUCGCCUUUAGAGCGGCCCGCGUCUGAUUAGCUUGUUGGUGAGGUAAAGGCUCACCAAGGCUUCGAUCAGUAGCUGGUCUGAGAGGAUGAUCAGCCACACUGGGACUGAGACACGGCCCAGACUCCUACGGGAGGCAGCAGUGGGGAAUCUUGCGCAAUGGGCGAAAGCCUGACGCAGCCAUGCCGCGUGAAUGAUGAAGGUCUUAGGAUUGUAAAAUUCUUUCACCGGGGAAGAUAAUGACGGUACCCGGAGAAGAAGCCCCGGCUAACUUCGUG